AUCGCUUCUCGGCCUUUUGGCUAAGAUCAAGUGUAGUAUCUGUUCUUAUCAGUUUAAUAUCUGAUACGUCCUCUAUCUGAGGACAAUAUAUUAAAUGGAUUUUUGGAGCAGGGAGUUGGAAUAGGAGCUUGCUCCAUCCACUCCACGCAUCGAAAAAAAAAAAAUUAAUGACAAAAAAGUGGUUCAAGAUAU